GUGUGUGUGUGUGUGUGUGUGUGUGUGUGUGUGUGUGUGUGUAUGUGUGUGCGUGUGCGUGUGCGUGUGUGUUGCCAUAAUAGGAACCAGCACUGAGAUAAAUACUACCCACC